UUACCUAUCCUAAUAAAAUAAUUAAUAAUCUCCUAACUACUACUAAGUCACGGCAAUAUCUAUAUCUAAUUAUACUAUUCUAAUUAAUUAAUAAUUAAAUAUUAACUAAAUCAAUAAUUAAAUAAUAAAUUAAAUAAUAUAUCCCAACAUUCCACCCCGCUUGAAAUGAAUCUUGUCCUCAAGGUUCGUCUUGCGUUUCCAUCUAUGUUUGACUUCAUCGACUUUCGUUCCGAAUGAAUCCGAAAAACACAAUGAACGAUCAAACUCUUUAACACGUGGUUCUUGUUGACCCCAAGAAAUUCCAAAGGCUACUUUUGCGAAAAUACUCAAUUUUUUUCCCGA
rnacentral:lncRNA from 1 species